rnacentral:rRNA from 1 species
GACGUAGGGUGCGAGCGUUGUCCGGAUUUAUUGGGCGUAAAGAGCUCGUAGGCGGCUCGUCGCGUCGACCGUGAAAACCCGCGGCUUAACUGCGGGCUUGCGGGUUAUACGGGCGGGCUAGAGUUCGGGUAGGGGAGAAUGGAAUUCCUGGGUGUAGCGGUGAAAUGCGCAGAUAUCGGGAAGAACACCCGUGGCGAAGGCGGUUCUCUGGGACGGUACUGACGCUGAGACGCGAAAGCGUGGGGAGCGAACAGG